rnacentral:rRNA from 1 species
GACGAACGCUGGCGGCGUGCUUAACACAUGCAAGUCGAACGGAAAGGCCCUGCUUUUGUGGGGUGCUCGAGUGGCGAACGGGUGAGUAACACGUGAGUAACCUGCCCUUGACUUUGGGAUAACUUCAGGAAACUGGGGCUAAUACCGGAUAGGAGCUCCUGCUGCAUGGUGGGGGUUGGAAAGUUUCGGCGGUUGGGGAUGGACUCGCGGCUUAUCAGCUUGUUGGUGGGGUAGUGGCUUACCAAGGCUUUGACGGGUAGCCGGCCUGAGAGGGUGACCGGGCUCCUUGGGCCUGAGGUACGGCCCAGUCUCCUACGGGACGCAGCAGUGGGGAAUAUUGCACAAUGGGCCGAAGCCUGAUGCAGCAACGCCGCGUGCGUGAUGACGGCCUUCGGGUUGUAAACCGCUUUCGCCUGUGACGAAGCGUGAGUGACGGUAAUGGGUAAAGAAGCACCGGCUAACUACGUG